UGGUUUCCCCACUUUGACAGCUAGGGAUUUUGAGAAUUGCCACGAGGUUCUUGGGCCGUUGAACUGAACACGCCAUUGUGCUUUGAGGAGUGAGUCUACGUAGAUGCGGGGUUAUUGAACUAAGAUUUACCUAUAAUUCUAAGUUCCAAAGUUAUUAAAUAGUUAUAUUGUAGUCAUCCAGGAUCAGUGAACAGUGAAUUUGAAGAAUUGUACCGCAUAAUGGAGUUCCACCCCGCAUCUACUAUGAAAUCUUAAAAAACAAAAACCACCUAACACCACCAGGGACAGACCACUCCUCGAGCAACAAUCACUGGACAACCAGCCUGGAUCAUUUCCAGUUGUUCUUCCUUUAAGUACCUCCAGCUGUUUCCACCAGCCUUCCUGUACCUCCAGCAGGACCGCUGCAAGCGAAAGUUAGCACCACUGGGUGCUCAUUACAUCAGCCAGACGAUUUUGUAAAAGGGGUUUGUUUGGGGACAUUUGGUGCGUUUUUAGUAAAGACAGACUGUUUUUUGUGAUAUUCAGGACAUAUUUUUUUUUUAUAGUUUAAUUGCACACAAAUUUUUCCUGCUUCAUAUUUAUAUAGUAUUUUUUUUUUAACAUAAUAUUUAAUUGAUAGCGUUCCCCAUACUGCAUAAUCCCUAAGGUAAAGAUCUCUGAGCUCAGAUAUUUUCCCCUGCAAAAGUUGUUGGUACUCUUAUUUUGAUUAUAUUUAUGCGGGUUUCUAUUUCUAUAUAACUAUUUAAACUUAUUUCAUUAUUUUAGUCUACUUUAAAUUAAAUUCUUCAAAUUAACUUCAAAUAUUAUUCAAAAUUUCAAUUAUUAACUUUAUUUAACUUUAACUUAUUAAAUUCAUAUACACUUCUGGGCUCUAUUCCCUCAGAAUAGAGUUUGGUUUCACUUGUUGAGUCAUUAUUGUAAACUACGAGUUAUAAAAAGGAUCUGUUAUAUCCAACCGUAGAUUUAUUUAUUAGGUAAAGGCUUGUGCCUGUCUAACUCACCUUGAGUUACUUAUAUAUUAUUUAUCGUAUCAGGUAAUAUUUAAUUAAGGUCUACGUAUUAUAAACGUACAAUUAUUAUUUGGUGAAGGUUCUACUAACCUAGGUGUAAGUUGUACUUUCUGUAUUAGAGGUACCCUUAUUCAGAUUUUCUAACCUUAUUAAGAUUAUUCUUAGAUCACAUUUGUGUGAUAAUUUUGUAAUUGACUUUCACUAGUAUCAUUUUUUUGUCAUGUUAGAGUCACAGACUAGUUACUUGUCUUAACUCGGAGAUUGUGAACAUCUAGUAGUUAAAUUUAAUAAAUAUAUAUUUAUUGUG